UCGUACGAGACUUUUUAUUUGAUGCUUGCAUCUUUUAAAAAGUUGAGUGGCUAACGGGUGAGUAACACGUGGGUAACCUACCUUAAAGUGGGGGAUAACACUUGGAAACAGGUGCUAAUACCGCAUAACCAUCAAAACCGCCUGGUUUUGAUGUUAAAGAUGGUUCUGCUAUCGCUUUAAGAUGGACCCGCGGCGUAUUAGCUAGUUGGUGAGGUAACGGCUUACCAAGGCAAUGAUACGUAGCCGAACUGAGAGGUUGAUCGGCCACAUUGGGACUGAGACACGGCCCAAACUCCUACGGGAGGCAGCAGUAGGGAAUCUUCCACAAUGGACGAAAGUCUGAUGGAGCAACGCCGCGUGAGUGAAGAAGGUUUUCGGAUCGUAAAACUCUGUUGUCAGAGAAGAACGUGUGUGAGAGUAACUGUUCACGCAGUGACGGUAUCUGACCAGAAAGUCACGGCUAACUACGUGCCAGCAGCCGCGGUAAUACGUAGGUGGCAAGCGUUGUCCGGAUUUAUUGGGCGUAAAGGGAACGCAGGCGGUCUUUUAAGUCUGAUGUGAAAGCCUUCGGCUUAACCGAAGUCGGGCAUUGGAAACUGGGAGACUUGAGUGCAGAAGAGGAGAGUGGAACUCCAUGUGUAGCGGUGAAAUGCGUAGAUAUAUGGAAGAACACCAGUGGCGAAAGCGGCUCUCUGGUCUGUAACUGACGCUGAGGUUCGAAAGCGUGGGUAGCAAACAGGAUUAGAUACCCUGGUAGUCCACGCCGUAAACGAUGAAUGCUA
rnacentral:rRNA from 1 species